AUAUAUAGGGUCUUAUAUGUUUCUUAAUAAAUUGAUCCCAUUACUUUAUAGUCACAGCUCCUAUUAGAAGUUUUAAUGAAGACUCUCCAUGAGCUUAGGCUUCAAAUUACUUGUUUUGGAAAAGGUCAUCUUGUCCUUUAUAAACUGUAAAUUCAUAUAUUAUUUAGCUUUAAUAUGCAAAUACAAUAUCCUUGAGUUCAUCCUAUUAAUUUAGAAACUCCCAGGAGGUAAGAUGGGUGGUUGGAGCGCAUUCUUUGGUUAUUUUCAUUAGCAUUAAGUCCUUAUUCUUUAUAGGUGGAUUUAAUUCUUGAAAAUAUUCAAAAGUAAUUCAGAGUCAAGGUGUUGGGGAUGGAGAGAAAGGAGGAACAGAGAGGAAAAAAAUUAGCAUUUGUUGAGUGUUGACGAUUUGUAGAGCAUUUUGACAAGCACUUAAUAUACAUCAUCAUUCAUUUUGAUCCUCUUAAUUACCUUGCAAAGAUUUGAUUCUUUUUUUUUUUUUGAGACAGAGUCUUGCUCUGUCACCCAGGCUGGAGUGCAGUGGCUUAAUCUCAGCUCACUGCAACCUCCGCUUCCUGGGUUCAAGUGAUUCUCCUGUUUCAGUCUCCUGAGGAACUGGGAUUAAGGUGUGUGCCACCACACCCAGCUAUUUUUUUUCUAUUUUUAGUAGAGAGAGGGUUUCACCAUGUUGGCCAGGCUGGUCUUGAACUCCUGACCUCAAGUGAUCCACCUGCCUUGGCCUCUCAAAGUGCUGGGAUUACAGGCAUGAGCCACCAUGCCCGGCUGAUUUUAUUAUUUUUUUAAAAAACAUAUGAAACCAAGACUCAGAGAAGUAAAAUAACUCAUUUAGGAUCAUACAGAAUGGUAAAGUCAGGAUUCAGACAUAGAUUUCUCUCACUCCAUUAUUCAUUUUUUACACUACGCAAUGUAUACAAUAGCUUUUGGUUAACAAAGGCAAGGUGACUAUAAAAUCGUGAGAUUAAAGCAUUUCAAUUUUUUGAUAUAUUACCGUUUAUGAAGAGUAGAGAGGUUUUUUUGUGUAAAUAAAAAAAACUGUAGGAAACAUCUGUAGGAAAUAUCAAGAUUUAAUGUUUAACUAGAUUUUCAAGGUAAAUUUACAUUUAUUUAGCUAAGUGUUAUAUUAAAGUUAUUUGUCAUAACAUACCUCAAAUAUUUAUUUAUAGUUCAUAUUUAAUACAGAACAAAUCUAGUCUUCGUGUUAACAUCGGGUCUCGGCAGAGUUUCUGAAAUGAAACAUUAUGAAGAAAGGUAGUUCAGAUUUGUUGAAUCUGAGCUUUAGGGAUUUCAAGUGUAUUUUUUUUUAUUUUCCUCUUUCAGAAUAUUAACAUCUCUAUUAGUUUUUUGAUGAAUAUGAGUUUUAAGAUUCCUAAUAAGGGUUUUAAGUGAACACACAUAAAAUACAUAUCAAACCACUGAUCCCGAUUGUUCCCUUUAGUCGCUGUGACAUUGUUACCUUUAGUGGCAUGCACUUGGAAAUGUCAGCCUUCAGAGAAGGGGGAGUUACAUGGAGUAAGGCCUCAUGGAUGUCAUGGUGGUCCUCCAUGUUCACCAACCACCAAGAAAAUUCUUCUUCAGUCCACAAUUCCAGCUUGCGCUCUUUGGUGCACUUGGAGCCAGAAAGUGUCUUUUUGGCCCUGUUUUGUAGAAACCGUGCAUGUACCAAAGAGAAACUUUAGAGUUUGGAUGGAGCUGAAGCAUUGAUGGGAAUUCCCUAGUGCACCCAGGAGCAGGAGGCAAGCCCAAGCCUCGGGUGGUAGCCAAUUAUAUUUUGUGAUCGUGUAUGUACUUAAAACAUCAGAGAUGACACAGCACAUGAAUAUAACUAUUGAUAUGUAGGUGCAUACUGAGUAUUCUAAGUAGCAGAUAGAUACCAAAAUACUGUAUAAUCCCAGAAUUGCCUAAACUGCAGGUUUGCUAGUUCUCUGUUAUACAGACCAGUAGGUAGCCUUUCCACACAUUUGUGUUUUCUCUUCCAUAAUAAGAGAGUGCUGCGGCUGGCAGGCAAAGGUAGUUGCCUCAUGCACUUUAUCUUUUUGUCUUUUUCUCUUCUUCAUCUUUUGGGAUGCUGCUGGCUGUAUCUGUCCCAAACUUCUUGUUGCAUUAGAAUCAGAUCUGUGUAUGUUUGAGGAGGUUUUAUUUUAAAGACUUCAGUUUUACUCAGCUCUAGGAAGGGUCAAAUACAACAACAACAACAAAAAACAGAAAACAAAAAACCCUCCCUAGGUGUUUGCUUUUGCAACAUUAAAAAAAAUGCCUUGGUGCUAAAAAGUAUUUAAUGACGCAUGUUCACCACUAAAAAGCGCCACUGAAUUCACAGUAUUUCACUGCUAAGUGGCUGCAUGUACUUUGUGUUUGGAAAUCUGAAGAAUUUUCCAGAAAACAAGCAUCCAUUACUCUCAUUUCAACAGUUACUCCAUCUAUGCUGCAAAAAUGAAGCGUGAAAGGGGGGAUACUUUUCUAUGGAAUACUCAGUGCUUUUGAUAUUUAUUUUAGCAAGAAUAAUCAGAUGCCAAAAAUAAUUUCAGAGAAAGGUAGAAAAAAUAUUUCAGGUAACCUUUUCUUAUUUCUUCUCCAAAAAGAUUACACCCAUGUAAGGUAUUUUUAACACUGGGGUUUUGAAGGUGUUAUCUUUUCUGGUAUCCUAUCACUACAUGUUAAAAUUGAAGGAGAAAAUAUUAUUGAAACUAAAGUAAUUGCAGGGACACAUUAAACCAAAGGGGUGAACAAAAGAGGUUUAAAGUUUGUAUCUAGAAAUGAAAAAUAAGAAUCAUUGGUAAGACUAGUACCGAUUAUUGGCAAUUGGUAAUUGAUAAUUGGUAAGAGUAGUACCAAAUAAUGGGCAUUUUUCUUAAAAUACAUACCUCUACCCCAAACCCCAAAUGUUAAUUUAGAAUCCUGAAACAGGCAAGUCAGGCUCUGACUCUUUUGUUUAAGGAAAUGUAAUACUGUGUCAACUAAACUGGCAUUAGGUUCUUAGUGGAGUGUGUGUUUGUGUGUGUGUGUGUGUGUUUUGUGUAGAGGUAUGUUUGUGAUGAAAGGUUUUGCACUGUUGCAUAAAGAAGUUUGAUUUUGUGAUUUUUAAAAUGAUAUUCAUUUGGAGACUUUUUAAGGUAAUUUAAAAGAUGUAUAAUUUCCGUGUGUUUAAUGAAAUCUGUUGUCGAUGUACUAAUCUUGGUUUACAGCAUCUUGAAUACUUGAUUAUUGAAAAUUAAGAAAAAAGUUAAAAAUGAAUAAAGUGUGUUGGACUG
rnacentral:lncRNA from 1 species